rnacentral:rRNA from 1 species
GAUGAACGCUGGCGGCGUGCCUAAUACAUGCAAGUCGAGCGAACAGACGAGGAGCUUGCUCCUCUGACGUUAGCGGCGGACGGGUGAGUAACACGUAGAUAACCUACCUAUAAGACUUAGAUAACUUCGAGAAACCGUAGCUAAUACCGGAUAAUAUAUUGAACCGCAUGGUUCUGUAGUGAAAGACGGUUUUUCUGUCACUUAUAGAUGGAUCCGCGCCGCAUUAGCUAGUUGGUACGGUAACGGCUUACCAAGGCGCCGAUGGGUAGACGACCUGAGAGGGGGAUAGGCGACAUUGGAAGUGGGACACGGACAAUAGUCCUACGAGAGGCAGCAGUAGCGAACCGGCCGCAGCAGGCGAGAACCUUACGCAGCAACGGCGCGUCUGUGACGAAGAUGUUCGGAGCGUAAAACCCGGUUAUGAGGUAAAAACAACUGUCUAAGGAAAUAUGGACGACUUGACGGUACCUAAACAGAAAGCCACGGCUAACUACGUG